UUUUAAGGCCAUGCCACCCUGAACGAGCCCGAUCCCGUCUGAUCUCGGAAGCUAAGCAGGGUCAGGCCUGGUUAGUACUUGGAUGGGAGACCACCUAGGAAGACCAGGUGCUGUAGGCG
rnacentral:rRNA from 1 species